rnacentral:rRNA from 1 species
CCUACGGGGGGCUGCAGUGGGGAAUAUUGGGCAAUGGGCGCAAGCCUGACCCAGCAACGCCGCGUGAAGGAAGAAGGCUUUCGGGUUGUAAACUUCUUUUCUGAGGGAAGAAGAAAGUGACGGUACCUCAGGAAUCAGCCACGACUAACUACGGGCCAGCAGCCGCGGUAAUAGGUAGGUGGGAAGCGUUCUGCGGAUUUAUUGGGUGUAAAGGGCGAGUCGGCGGGAAAUGAAGUCAGAUGUGAAACCUCAGGGCUCAACCCUGGGCCUGCAGUUGAAACUGUUUUUGUUGAGUGCUGGAGAGGCAAUCGGAAUUCCGGGUGUAGCGGUGAAAUGCGUAGAUAUACGGAGGAACACCAGUGGCGAAGGCGGAUUGCUGGACAGUAACUGACGCUGAGGCGCGAAAGCGUGGGGAGCAAACAGGAUUAGAUACCCGAGUAGUC